GGGUCUGUAGCUCAGGUGGGAAAGCACCUGCUUUGCAAGUAGGGGAUCGUCGGUUCGAUCCCGUCAUCCU
rnacentral:tRNA from 1 species